UGGAGAGUAAGGACAUUCAGA
rnacentral:miRNA from 1 species